AACUGCGAUAAGUGAUGUGAAUUGCAGACGUAUACGAAUCAUCGAACCCUUGAACGCAUUCUGCGCCUCGAAGCUUGUCUUCGAGGCAUAUCUGGGUGAGUGUCGGUUUAACCUUCUUGCAUAUAAUGCACAUUGAUGUAGUCUUAUGCAGCGUUUGAUAGUAAAUCGUUAAGGUCUUCUAUUAAAAUAAAUCGAUACUCUUGAUUAGAAUUCUUCGGAAAUAGAGCAAUCCUCUUCUGAUUGGUUUGAAGGAACUUGUUGCUACUUGUCAUUUCGAAAUGGAUUGUAUUCUUAAUCUGAGAAUUCUUAGUCGAAUGGUACAUGUUGGAUUAAAAAUCUAAUUUUUAAUCAAACCUUCGACCUCACCUAGGUAAGAUUACCCGCUGAAUUUAAGC
rnacentral:misc_RNA from 1 species